UGGUGGGUUGCCUUGUCAGGUUGAUUCCGGUAACGAACGAGACCUCAGCCUGCUAAAUAGUCACCGCCGCUUCUCGCGGCGGGCCGACUUCUUAGAGGGACUAUUGUCGUUUAGGCAAUGGAAGUAUGAGGCAAUAACA
rnacentral:rRNA from 1 species